CACGUAGGGUGCGAGCGUUGUCCGGAAUUAUUGGGCGUAAAGAGCUCGUAGGCGGUGUGCCGCGUCGGCCGUGAAAACCUGCAGCUUAACUGUGGGCUUGCGGUCGAUACGGGCAUCACUGGAGUUCGGCAGGGGAGACUGGAAUUCCUGGUGUAGCGGUGAAAUGCGCAGAUAUCAGGAGGAACACCGGUGGCGAAGGCGGGUCUCUGGGACGAUACUGACGCUGAGGAGCGAAAGCGUGGGGAGCGAACAGG
rnacentral:rRNA from 1 species